CUGCAGCAUCGCAAUGCGCCAGGCUAUCCAGGUGUCCUGAUGCUCUGUAAUGAUACAGUAGCCCUAAUUGAAAACAGACCUCUCUCCUUGUCUGAAUAAGCACACGGAGCAUCACUGAGGGUGAAAGGAAAAUGAAUUCAUGGAAACUUUCCCAGGUCGGUGGGUGAGACCCAAUCACCCACUUCCCCGAAGCACCAUGCGCGGAAUCAUGCCCAUUUCUGAAAGCUCUUCCUCACGGGCUGGCUCCUCAAAGACACGACUGCAAAGAAAACACUACUUGAGACUCAGCCGAAGGCGUCCAGCCAGCCUGAAACGUUGGAAGUGUGCAUUGUCAUUCGGACAGCCUGGUACUUAAGGACAGCAGACCUGGCCUUGCCUCUUCCCACCUGGGACUUUUUCAACCGCUCAAAGGCCAGUUUCUUUGUUUGCAAAAUGAUAAGAGUAUAAUAAGAGUACCUAUCGAUGGGGUGCUUAGCACAAGGCUAUGAGACAUUUAAGUACAAAGCUGUCUUUCCGAUCUUUAUAUUUGGCAGUGCCCAGCAAAGUGAACCCAUGGAUUCCACACACGUUUAUGAAGUGCCUGCUAUGGGUCAGGCACAUUGCUAGGACUCUACGAGAAGAUGUCACAAAGGAGUCAGGAGCCAUGAGCAUCACCUUGAAUGACACGCUGCUGUCAUUAAUGUAACCGUAAUGAUAACGUUCUGAACUAGCACCACACAGUCUUCCCAAGAAUCAACAGAGUACUCACAUUCUGGAAAAUUCAGGAUAUGUCCAACAAAGAUGUAUGCAUAGUGGUUAGAUGAUUAUAUACUUUACCGAGUGGUUCCCCCGACAUGUCCAGUACCCACAUGGUACCAUACAAGAUGCCAUUAAAAGAAGACUUGGGAAUUUUAUGUGAACCCAGAGAUGGCACCUACAAAAGGUUAAGGAGCAUUCAUCUACUGGGGGGAAUGAAUUAAAAAAAAAUCAUCAAGGAUGACAACACAU